AACGGACGCUGGCGGAAUGCUUUACACAUGCAAGUCGAACGGUAGCACGGGGCAACCUGGUGGUGAGUGGCGAAUGGGUGAGUAAUACAUCGGAACGUGCUCAGUCGUGGGGGAUAACGUAGCGAAAGCUACGCUAAUACCGCAUACGAUCUACGGAUGAAAGUGGGGGACUUGCAAGAGCCUCGCGCGAUUGGAGCGGUUGAUGGUAGAUUAGGUAGUUGGUGGGGUAAAGGCUCACCAAGCCUGCGAUCUGUAGCUGGUCUGAGAGGACGACCAGCCACACUGGAACUGAGACACGGUCCAGACUCCUACGGGAGGCAGCAGUGGGGAAUUUUGGACAAUGGGCGCAAGCCUGAUCCAGCCAUUCCGCGUGCAGGAUGAAGGCCUCGGUU
rnacentral:rRNA from 1 species